GAUGAAGAACGUAGUGAAAUGCGAUACGUAAUGUGAAUUGCAGAAUUCAGUGAAUCAUCGAAUCUUUGAACGCAUAUUGCGCUCUCUGGUAUUCCGGAGAGCAUGCUUGUUUGAGUAUCAGUAAACACCUCAACUCCCUUUUCUUUUUUGAAAUUGGAGCUGGACUUGAGUGAUCCCAACGCUUUCUUCCAAGAAAGUGGCGGGUUGCUUGAAAUGCAGGUGCAGCUGAACUUUUCUCUGAGCUAUAAGCAUAUCUAUUUAGUCUGCCUAAAAACAGAUUAUUACCUUUGCUGCAGCUAACAUAAAGGAGACUAGUUCUUGUGCUGACUGAUGCAGGAUUCACAGAGAAAGCUUCGGCUGACUUUGUAAACUCGAUCUCAAAUCAAGUAAGACUACCCGCUGAACUUAAGCAUAUCAAUAAGCGGAGGA
rnacentral:misc_RNA from 1 species